AUCAUCUUCCUCUAUUUCUGUCUGAUCCGCGGCUCGGAAAAGUGCUUCCGGUCAAAGGGCGAGUCUGUUCUUCCCCAAACGCGUCCGUCAUUUUUGAACUUCAAAAUCAAGGGAGUGAGGGAGUGGAGGCCGACGGUGAUGGAAUUCCUCAAGCAACCAAUCAGGAGAUAUGUCGAUCCGAUGCUGUUAAUCGACCUUAUGCGUUUUCCAGUGUCGAGUUCCGGCGGUUAAGCUUUUGUGAUUUGUCUCUCCCAGAUCCACUCUGAUUGAGGAGGUUGGGGAGAGUCUAGUGCCGGAAGGGACGCCGGCACAUGGCACCAGGCGGACAGUGGUCGAGGUGGCGCUAAACGAGGCCACGGGUGUGACCGUCAAAAGGGUGGAUCUGCGGCGUGGCUGCAGCGGCAGCAAUGAGAAGGGGCAGCUCGCCUCCCACUUCUGAGCUGUCGACGGGGAAGAUGAAUCCCAGGCUCCUGGUUGGAACAAGAGGGUGAGUAUAGAUGCAGCGUCGCCUUGCAGGGCGUCUGUGGGCUUGGCUAGUGACUGCCUUCGAGGAAGUGGUGAAGGGUUUUACAGAGAACCCUCGAAAAUGUGAUUGCGCCGACACUAGGGACAAGUUUCGACUCACUCGGGGAGGCGGAUGAUUUUUACAACGUGUAUUCUUGGAAAGAAAUGUUUCAGAAUAAGAUAUGGGCAGAGCGGGCUGAUUGUUGAGAGAAUGAAAUGCAUGCAGAAAAUUGGGUGUGGCUGCUCGGUAAAGCUGGAGUCGAGAAUACUAGAUCCUAUCGAUGUGAGUGUCCUGUGUUGAUAAGAUUGCCUAGAACAGAGGGCAAUGGAUGGUACAGCUCUGAACACAGGGAGAAGCACAAUCACUCGCUGUUGGCGAAUUUUGGAGAGACGAUUCACUGGUCAUCUCACAAAGCACAUCUAUGUGUUUUCCCGAGACCUGAUCAAGCAAUCGAGACAGAACAACGUCAACCUUGCCAAGGUGUACAUCGUUAUCAGGAGUCUUUUUUGGAUUAAUCGAGAAUGUGUGAUCGUUAUCUGGGCAGUCGAGUACAGCGUCGGGAUGUCAUGCAUUCAAUUCCUGGUCCACAUACGGGUUCGGUUUUAUUAGCGGAAAUGCCGAUGUAUGUAUGGUACGAACCUUAAAACGCCCGGAUGAACAUAAAGGUAUGGCAGUACACAUACUUGCAAUUCUUGCUAGUGCUCUUAGAAGAAAGGGAUAGUGUUUACUGGUAGAACUUGACAAGAAUUAGAACGGUAACUUGUUGAGUCAGGCAGUGAUGUAAUUUUAGGUAGUGUGAUUAGCUAUUCGCUCAUUAGUUAGCGAGUCAGUUCCCUUGUACCAAAAACUGUAUGGAGUUUGCGCUGAAGAUGCAGACUGGAAGUGUACUACACUCUGAAUUACAUUGGGUGUGUCCAGAAAAAAUGCACCUGCAGCAUACAUUACUGAUUCCUGGUGGUACCUUGUGCAUUGGAAAAGUUGUGUUUUAGCAACAAAUUCGUAUUGUAAAAA